rnacentral:lncRNA from 1 species
AUGCCUGAACUGAAGACAGUAUAUCGGUACGGACUUACCACCUUGAACUCCUUUGAGACAACACACAAAGAGAGCGGCACACUCGCAGUAGUUUUCCAGUGUAGAUUGGAACCUCUUCAAGGUGAUGCCUGUGAAUCCUUGGCUCUACUGAAACUCACAUCAAGAGUUCACCAAGCUCCUCACUAGAGCCAGGACUUCAGCCAGCCAUCCUGCCUCACUGCAAAGCUCUGUAAUUGAAAGAUAAAUGAUUUAACUAGUAGGAGAACACCUUUAGAGCUUUCUGAUGUUGAUUCAUGCUCAGCUUAAGCCUGAAUGCGCAAUAUCAUUACUGAAAGGGGUCUUCUGCCCUUCCUCCUCUGCUAUCUGCACAUUUCUGCCCUUGGAAAAUAGGCUGAAGCACGCACACAGGUGAAUGAUAAACCAGGCUGAGGAAAUGAUCCAGCUGAAAAAUAGCUCAGCAAAAAGAAAGGCUGUUUUGACCAAGGUGUCUGCUUCUGUCAGUUGAGAGAGGGGAUUAAGCUGGAAUGGGAAACAAGUGGCACCAUAGCAGAUAGUGGCAACACCAGCUUCUGCAGAUUGUGAAAUUGCAGUGCUGUUUCCUAUCUCAUAAAUUAUUUCCUCUGCCCUUUACUUCUCUGUUUACUUCAUGAUCCAAUAGGUCCCUCCUCCAGUGUUUCUGUCUGUAAAAAUGACAAGCAAGUGAGAAAACAGAUAAGAAAAUAAUCAACCUGUGAGCUUCAUUAUGUUUGUAUUCCUCAGCAACUGACUGUUCUUACAGCUUUUCAUACUUUUGAACCUCUUCCUGAUGAGAUACAAUGCUAGAGCACACAGGAAAAUAAAUAAGUGAUUUUUUCUGUCUUGCCA